rnacentral:rRNA from 1 species
UUGGGUUAAGUCCCGCAACGAGCGCAACCCUUAUUAUUAGUUGCUACCAUUAAGUUGAGCACUCUAAUGAGACUGCCUGGGUGAACCAGGAGGAAGGUGGGGAUGACGUCAAAUCAUCAUGCCCCUUAUGUCUAGGGCUACACACGUGCUACAAUGGUCGGUACAGAGAGACGCAAGACCGCGAGGUGGAGCAAAUCUCAAAAACCGAUCCCAGUUCGGAUUGCAGGCUGAAACUCGCCUGCAUGAAGCCGGAGUUGCUAGUAAUCGCAAAUCAGAAUGUUGCGGUGAAUACGUUCCCGGGCCUUGUACACACCGCCCGUCACACCAUGAGAGUUGGCAACACCCGAAGUCCGUGAGGUAACCGUAAGGAGCCAGCGGCCGAAGGUGGGGUUAAUGAUUGGGGUGAAGUCGUAACAAGGUAGCCGUAGGAGAACCUGCGGCUGGAUCACCUCCUUUCUAAGGAG